CAGCCUGGGUGACAUAGUGAGACCCUGUCUCAAAAAAAAAAAAAAAAAAAGGCAAGAAAGAAAGGAAUCGUGAUCCACAGCUGCUGCAAUGAUUCAAUUAGUGUAAGACCACCUCCUCUUCCUUCAUCAUUCCCUCCAGCUAAGAUGAGGGUGGAGCCAGUAGCUGGGAAGUUGGCUUGCCAGUAGGUCAUCUGGAGAAGUAAUCCUGCCAAGAUCACACCACAGGGCCUGUCCUGUGACCUGUUUUGACCAAGAGAAUACAUCAAAAGUGUCUCUGGGCCUGGUCUGGGCACAGGCUUAAAGUCUGACACCUUCCACUUUCAUGACUGGGGUGUCCGGAGCCAUCAUAUUAGACGUCCACCUGCCUUCCAUCAUAUGUUGAGGAGGAGUCUGCAACUAUGUGGAGAGGGGAUUCUCAGCAUUCCAGAUGACCUGCCUACUGAAUGCAGCCAUGUGAAGACCAGCAGAAGAACCACACAGCUGAGCCUCAACCCAGAUAGCAGAAUUGUAAACAAAUAACAUGGUUGUUCUUUUAAGCCACUAAAUUCUGGGGCAGUUUAUUAUGUAGCAACAGGACACGAAAUUUCCCUGGUGCCUGCGGUUACUGACCCAGCAGUGGACAAAUGAGGUAAGUUGACCCAGUCAGACUAGAGGCAAGGCCACUUAUUGGCUGACUGUGGGCGAGGCACAUGCUCCCAAACUGGAUGUGAGUUAGGAAACCUGCAGCUCUAAUAGCUCCUGAUGGCUAUUGACAACCAUGAGAUGAACCAGCUUAGGAUGAGACUGACUUGGGGGAUGGCACAGGAGACUCAGGGAGAAGUGAGAUAAUAAGUCUUAACAUUGUUUAAGCCACUGUGUUGGGUUUUCUGUUAUUUGUAUUACUUGUGGCCCCAAGCCACCUAUCAUAAUUCUAUCAAAAAUGGAAAAAAUAAAAGAACUGGAAGGCUAGGGCAGGAGAAUUGCUUGAACCCAGGAGGCAGAGG
rnacentral:lncRNA from 1 species